rnacentral:ncRNA from 1 species
AAGAGCCGUAUGAUGCGAGAGUAUCACGUACGGAUCUAUGAGGGGAUUGGGGUGAAAUUCCCCAGGUCUACUCUAC